rnacentral:rRNA from 1 species
AUUGAACGCUGGCGGCAUGCCUUACACAUGCAAGUCGAACGGUAACAGGUCUUCGGAUGCUGACGAGUGGCAACGGGUGAGUAAUACAUCGGAACGUGCCCGAUCGUGGGGGAUAACGAGGCGAAAGCUUUGCUAAUACCGCAUACGAUCUACGGAUGAAAGCGGGGGAGCUUCGGACCUCGCGCGGACGGAGCGGCCGAUGGCGGAUUAGGUAGUGGGUGGGAUAAAAGCUUACCAAGCCGACGAUCUGUAGCGGGUCUGAGAGGAUGAUCAGCCACACUGGAACUGAGACACGGCCCAGACUCCUACGGGAGGCAGCAGUGGGGAAUUUUGGACAAUGGGCGAAAGCCUGAUCCAGCCAUGCCGCGUGCAGGAUGAAGGCCUUCGGGUUGUAAACUGCUUUUGUACGGAACGAAAAGCCUCUUUCUAAUAAAGAGGGGUCAUGACGGUACCGUAAGAAUAAGCACCGGCUAACUACGUG